AUACGGAGGAUCCAAGCGUUAUCCGGAUUUAUUGGGUUUAAAGGGUGCGCAGGCGGCCUUAUAAGUCAGUGGUGAAAUCUCCCGGCUCAACCGGGAAACUGCCAUUGAUACUGUAAGGCUAGAAUACAGACGAGGUAGGCGGAAUGUAGCAUGUAGCGGUGAAAUGCUUAGAUAUGCUACAGAACACCGAUCGCGAAGGCAGCUUACCAGACUGUAAUUGACGCUAAGGCACGAAAGCGUGGGGAGCGAACAGGAUUAGAUACCCGAGUAGUCC
rnacentral:rRNA from 1 species